UCGAGAAAGAAUGCGCAGCCACUCGGUCAGCACCCAAGAGUCUACACACAGGAGGACGCCUCUGCGCCACGCAGACCUGGCCCAGAACCUGAGGGCUGAAAAGAUUGAGCAGCAAGUGACUCUGGAAGAGCUACGACGCUUAAAUGCACUCUUUCAGGAACAUGAAAAGAAAGGAAGCCAGCUGCUGGAUAUGGAAACAUUCAAGUGCAUAAUGAAGCAGAGUAUGAG